CCUACGGGUGGCUGCAGUGGGGAAUCUUGCACAAUGGGGGAAACCCUGAUGCAGCGACGCCGCGUGAGUGAUGAAGCCCUUCGGGGUGUAAAGCUCUUUCGACAGGGACGAUAAUGACGGUAUCUGGAGAAGAAGCUGCGGCUAACUACGUGCCAGCAGCCGCGGUAAUACGUAGGCAGCAACCGCUGUUCGGAGUUACUGGGCGUAAAGAGUGCGUAGGCGGUUCGCCAAGUUUGGUGUGAAAUCUCCCGGCGUAACUGGGAGGGUGCGCCGAAAACUGGCGGGCUUGAGUGUGGGAGAGGGAGGCGGAAUUCCUGGUGUAGCGGUGAAAUGCGUAGAGAUCAGGAGGAACACCGGUGGUGUAGACGGCUUCCUGGACCACAACUGACGCUGAGGCACGAAAGCGUGGGUAGCAAACAGGAUUAGAUACCCGAGUAGUC
rnacentral:rRNA from 1 species